GACGAACGCUGGCGGCGUGCCUAAUACAUGCAAGUUGAGCGCUGAAGGUUGGUACUUGUACCAACUGGAUGAGCAGCGAACGGGUGAGUAACGCGUGGGGAAUCUGCCUUUGAGCGGGGGACAACAUUUGGAAACGAAUGCUAAUACCGCAUAAAAACUUUAAACACAAGUUUUAAGUUUGAAAGAUGCAAUUGCAUCACUCAAAGAUGAUCCCGCGUUGUAUUAGCUAGUUGGUGAGGUAAAGGCUCACCAAGGCGAUGAUACAUAGCCGACCUGAGAGGGUGAUCGGCCACAUUGGGACUGAGACACGGCCCAAACUCCUACGGGAGGCAGCAGUAGGGAAUCUUCGGCAAGGGGCGAAAGUCUGACCGAGCAACGCCGCGUGAGUGAAGAAGGUUUUCGGAUCGUAAAACUCUGUUGGUAGGGAAGAACGUUGGUGAGAGUGGAAAGCUCAUCAAGUGACGGUAACUACCCAGAAAGGAACGGCUAACUACGUG
rnacentral:rRNA from 1 species